GGGGUUGUCACAGGGCCGUGGACGCGUGUGUCCACUGGACCGGGACCCCAGGCGUGUGCCAUGUGACGCCGAGACAUGCCGGGGGGCGCAGAGCUGGGGGCUGGGGACGGAGUUCUGGGUCCUUCCAUGUGAGCUUCGGGUGAGGAAGCACAGCCCCCGAUCCUCCGUCUGAACGCUCGUGUGGUUCGCUUCCCCUGCUUCUUAGCUUGUGUUCUUCUGGCGGGAAACAGGGAUAUUCUGCCUCCUCCCCACCAACAAAGACGUAGGCAUGCUCCCCCUUCCUUGUUUUCACGAAACAAGCAGCUCAUUGGCUCCACAGGUAAAUGCAUCUGUAGGAGAAAGAGAAAGAGACACAGACCUAAGAGAAAUCCGAGCCAGAUGCAAUGUGUGGAUGGUGUUGGGAUCCUGGUUUGAACCAAACCCACUGGAGUAUUUCUGAGAUAACCAGACGAACUUGAAUGCGGACUGGGUAUUAUUGGCUGAUAGUAAGGAAUUGCAUGCUCUCAUGUUCA